rnacentral:rRNA from 1 species
GAUGAACGCUAGCGGCAGGCCUAAUACAUGCAAGUCGGACGGGAUUUGGGAGCUUGCUCCCAAUGAGAGUGGCGCACGGGUGCGUAACACGUAUGUAACCUACCUUAAUCAGGGGGAUAGCCUCUCGAAAGAGAGAUUAACACCGCAUAACAUAUUUUUAUGGCAUCGUAGAAAUAUCAAAUAUUUAUAGGAUUAAGAUGGGCAUGCGGAACAUUAGCUAGUUGGUAAGGUAACGGCUUACCAAGGCUACGAUGUUUAGGGGAUCUGAGAGGAUGACCCCCCACACUGGUACUGAGACACGGACCAGACUCCUACGGGAGGCAGCAGUAAGGAAUAUUGGUCAAUGGGCGCAAGCCUGAACCAGCCAUGCCGCGUGCAGGAAGACGGCCCUAUGGGUUGUAAACUGCUUUUGUACCGGAAUAAACCCUUUUACGUGUAAAAGGCUGAAUGUACGGUAAGAAUAAGGAUCGGCUAACUCCGUGCCAGCAGCCGCCGCCG